CCAACGUUUGACCAUUCGUUUUAUUUGAAGUUCUUUUGUGAUUAAUAUUUUUUAUUAUUACUAGAUGAUAAAAUAUGAAUAAUAUUUUAUACGUGACUAAUUUUUUUAAGUUUUUAUAUAAAUUUUUUAAAUAAGACGAAUGGUGUAACAUACCCAAGCCCGUAAACCCGAG
rnacentral:pre_miRNA from 1 species